AACGAACGCUGGCGGCAUGCCUAACACAUGCAAGUCGAACGAGACCUUCGGGUCUAGUGGCGCACGGGUUCGUAACGCGUGGGAACCUGCCCUUAGGUUCGGAAUAACUCCCCGACAGGGGUACUAAUACCGGAUAGUGUCUUCGGACCAAAGAUUUAUCGCCUUUGGAUGGGCCCGCGUUGGAUUAGCUAGUUGGUAGGGUAAAAGCCUACCAAGGCGACGAUCCAUAGCUGGUCUGAGAGGAUGAUCAGCCACACUGGGACUGAGACACGGCCCAGACUCCUACGGGAGGCAGCAGUGGGGAAUAUUGGACAAUGGGCGAAAGCCUGAUCCAGCAAUGCCGCGUGAGUGAUGAAGGCCUUAGGGUUGUAAAGCUCUUUUACCCGGGAUGAUAAUGACAGUACCGGGAGAAUAAGCUCCGGCUAACUCCGUG
rnacentral:rRNA from 1 species